rnacentral:rRNA from 1 species
AACGAACGCUGGCGGCAUGCCUAACACAUGCAAGUCGAACGAAGCCUUCGGGCUUAGUGGCGCACGGGUGCGUAACGCGUGGGAAUCUGCCCUUGGGUUCGGAAUAACAGUUAGAAAUGACUGCUAAUACCGGAUGAUGUCUUCGGACCAAAGAUUUAUCGCCCAAGGAUGAGCCCGCGUAGGAUUAGGUAGUUGGUGGGGUAAUGGCCCACCAAGCCGACGAUCCUUAGCUGGUCUGAGAGGAUGAUCAGCCACACUGGGACUGAGACACGGCCCAGACUCCUACGGGAGGCAGCAGUGGGGGAGAUUGGACAAUGGGCGAAAGCCUGAUCCAGCAAUGCCGCGUGAGUGAUGAAGGCCUUAGGGUUGUAAAGCUCUUUUACCAGGGAUGAUAAUGACAGUACCUGGAGAACAAGCUCCGGCUAACUCCGUGCCAGCCGCCGCGGUAA